rnacentral:snoRNA from 1 species
UAAGCACUAUGAUGAACACUUAGUAACAACAACAACGAAUUUCUUCAACCGAAAUUUUAUGUGGAAUAUUAUACUUUGACGCUUUUUAACCCUGAGUGCUUA